GAUGAACGCUGGCGGCGUGCCUAAUACAUGCAAGUCGAGCGAACGGACGAGAAGCUUGCGUCUCUGAUGUGAGCGGCGGACGUGUGAGUAACACGUGGAUAAUCUACCUAUAAGACUGGGAUAACUUCGGGAAACCGGAGCUAAUACCGGAUAAUAUUUUGAACCGCAUGGUUCAAAAGUGAAAGACGGUCUUGCUGUCACUUAUAGAUGGAUCUGCGCUGCAUUAGCUAGUUGGUACGGUAACGGCUUACCAAGGCAACGAUGCAUAGCCGACCUGAGAGGGUGAUCGGCCACACUGGAACUGAGACACGGUCCAGACUCAUACGGGAGGCAGCCGUAGGGAAUCGUCCGCAAUGGGCGAAAGCCUGACGGAGAAACGCCGCGUGAGUGAUGAAGGUCUUCGGAUCGGAAAACUCUGUUAUUAGGGAAGAACAUAUGUGUAAGUAACUGUGCACAUCUUGACGGUACCUAAUCAGAAAGCCACGGCUAACUACGUG
rnacentral:rRNA from 1 species